GGCCCUACGGGGUGCAGCAGGCGCGAAAACUUUACAAUGCUGGCAACAGCGAUAAGGGAACCUCGAGUGCCAGGUUACAAAUCUGGCUGUCGAGAUGCCUAAAAAGCAUUUCAUAGCAAGGGCCGGGCAAGACCGGUGCCAGCCGCCGCGGUAACACCGGCGGCUCGAGUGGUAACCGUUAUUAUUGGGUCUAAAGGGUCUGUGGCCGGCCGGAUAAGUCUCUUGGGAAAUCUGGCAGCUUAACUGUCAGGCUUUCAGGAGAUACUGUCUGGCUCGAGGCCGGGAGAGGUGAGAGGUACUUCAGGGGUAGGGGUGAAAUCUUGUAAUCCUUGAAGGACCACCAGUGGCGAAGGCGUCUCACCAGAACGGACCUGACGGCAAGGGACGAAAGCUAGGGGCACGAACCGGAUUAGAUACCCGGGUAGUCCUAGCCGUAAACGAUACUCGCUAGGUGUCGGCCACGGUGCGACCGUUGUCGGUGCCGUAGGGAAGCCGUGAAGCGAGCCACCUGGGAAGUACGGCCGCAAGGCUGAAACUUAAAGGAAUUGGCGGGGGAGCACCACAACGGGUGGAGCUUGCGGUUUAAUUGGAUUCAACGCCGGAAAUCUU
rnacentral:rRNA from 1 species